rnacentral:rRNA from 1 species
UAAAGAGCUCGUAGGCGGUUUGUCGCGUCUGCCGUGAAAGUCCGGGGCUCAACUCCGGAUCUGCGGUGGGUACGGGCAGACUAGAGUGAUGUAGGGGAGACUGGAAUUCCUGGUGUAGCGGUGAAAUGCGCAGAUAUCAGGAGGAACACCGAUGGCGAAGGCAGGUCUCUGGGGCAUUAACUGACGCUGAGGAGCGAAAGCAUGGGGAGCGAACAGGAUUAGAUACCCUGGUAGUCCAUGCCGUAAACGUUGGGCACUAGGUGUGGGGGACAUUCCACGUUUUCCGCGCCGUAGCUAACGCAUUAAGUGCCCCGCCUGGGGAGUACGGCCGCAAGGCUAAAACUCAAAGGAAUUGACGGGGGCCCGCACAAGCGGCGGAGCAUGCGGAUUAAUUCGAUGCAACGCGAAGAACCUUACCAAGGCUUGACAUGAACCGGACCGGGCUGGAAACAGUCUUUCCCCUUGUGGGCUGGUUUACAGGUGGUGCAUGGUUGUCGUCAGCUCGUGUCGUGAGAUGUUGGGUUAAGUCCCGCAACGAGCGCAACCCUCGUUCUAUGUUGCCAGCACGUGAUGGUGGGGACUCAUAGGAGACUGCCGGGGUCAACUCGGAGGAAGGUGGGGACGACGUCAAAUCAUCAUGCCCCUUAUGUCUUGGGCUUCACGCAUGCUACAAUGGCCGGUACAAAGGGUUGCGAUACUGUGAGGUGGAGCUAAUCCCAAAAAGCCGGUCUCAGUUCGGAUUGGGGUCUGCAACUCGACCCCAUGAAGUCGGAGUCGCUAGUAAUCGCAGAUCAGCAACGCUGCGGUGAAUACGUUCCCGGGCCUUGUACACACCGCCCGUCAAGUCACGAAAGUUGGUAACACCCGAAGCCGGUGGCCUAACCC